rnacentral:lncRNA from 1 species
ACAACAGAUGCGACUAUCUUACAGAAGUACUAUCUACCUAUGUUUAUUACAACGUUUGACAUACCUAUCCAAUACAAAUUCCUGAACGGGUUAUGGAAAGAAGUGGAAGCAUAAUAGCUCGUGCUGAUAGCGAUCUUGUACGUCAAAUAAAACAAACUGGAAUCAAAUGCCUCGCUCAAGCUCAAGCCUCGCCAAUGCCAUAGCUCAUCCAUGCCAUUUCCAUGAGUUACUUGUCAUUUUUUUAAGGUAAUAAUUUUUUAAUAUGUCAGAGUAAGUAAUCAAUUAAAAAGUCGUGCCCCGGCCCUGUCGGCUCAUUUUCUUAAGUUAGAAAGACAAAUAUUGUAUUCGUAACAGUGAACACAAUGCCAUAUUCACUGCAAAUUAUUCAUUGCAAAUUAUGGUUCAGCUUUGAGGCUGAUCAUAGGUAUCAGUAAAGUCGGUUCCAAAAUAGCUAAGAGAUGAUCAAAUGAUCUUUAAGAAGAAAAAUCGAAAGUUGUGGGAGAGUUGCAGUCGUCUGCACUGGCCGUGUCCAGUAUGCCGUCUUCUGCCACGGAGCUUGCCAGUGCAAUCCGUUCCCAUAUAUGCCUUUUCCAAUCGGAUGGGUCGGAUUACACUACACGCUCUGAGGCCUACCAAGACUCCUCAUCUGGCUUCGGCUCUUAUGGCACCAAAAACAAAGAUCAAAGUCCGUUUACUCUAGCAUCGCUACUCACGCCUUCCUUCUCGAACAUAUGCAAUCAAGACAAGGCGGAUGGUGACAAGAACAAAGAGAAAAAGUCAUUCUGGAAGGCACUGAUUGCCAAGACGGACCAAGAGGCCGGAUCGGCCGCGACAUCAUCGUUCGCGUCUUCCACCAAUACGUCGCUCUCGACUACGAAGACGUCUCCGUCGGUGAUGAGCGGUGACGCCGUCCGGGCGUCCGUGUCGAGCCUGAGUCGGCUCAGGGCGACGGCCGUCCGGCUGCUCUGUCCCUGUGUGCCAGCAGCGUACUCCAGCAGCUCCGCUAGCCUGAACAGAGGAGCCGCGGCAGCCAAGGAGCUAUAGCACCGGGUAGGUGCCCACAAUCGGACUGCAGAGUGCAUGGCGCAUUUUGUUUGAUUUAGAUGCCGGUCUGUCGAGUAAAACUUCUCUGUUAUAGAGCAGCUAAGAAAUUGGCAUUUAAUUCAUUAGUUAUUUAGUGGUUAUUCAAAUAAACGCAUUGCCUGCUACUUUUCAUCGACUUAUUUCAAACAGAAAUCUGCGGAUAAAAGAGAUAAAAUUAAAUGAGAUUUCCGAAAUACAAAGUCCAUCGACGCUAAAAUGAGAGGCGAAACAUACCGACCUGGACUGUCUUGUCAUGGCCACAGAAGAGUGUUGCCGGAGCGCCGUUGACCGGCUUGGUGUCGGGCCGGCCGGCGUCCAGUUGUCCCGUUGCUGGAGGGGACUGGUCGGUCGGUCGGUCGGUCGGUUGGUCGGGUCAGUGUUUGUCGGCGGCGUCCGCGCCCCGUCACGUCUCCCGCAGGCCACGGGCGUGUACUCACUGAGUGUGCGCUAACGGACGGGCCAGGGCGGCAGCCUUUGCCCGGUCCACCGGCAGCCGGCAGGGCGGGGGCGGUCGGUAGGGCGGCGGGUACACCUCCACGAACCAACAUCAGACGGAGGCCACUCGUCGGCCCGACAGCACCGAUCGCGGCGAGCUGCGACCAUUGCUGGGAGACGAAAGGAGCCCGGCACCUCGGCUCAUCGAGCGCAGAACUAGUGGACAACAGCCCCUGCUGGCUACUUAAAACGUCUACAAGCGCACCGAGACAGUGCUUCAACUGAAGGAAGCUGCUAAAUCAAAAUCUGUCAGCCUGGCGGCACGAAUAUCACCAAGGCUUCCAUACUAUCAAGAGUUACGGCUUGUGUCAACACAGAUAACUGUUGGUGCUUGGUAAGCACUGCGAUGAGACUGGAUUCCAUGAAGGCCCUGCUGAUUCUGUUGGUGUUUUCAUCUAUGUCGGCAACAGAGAACUCACCCCUCCAUCAUCGACCCCUGAGAUCCGUAGCCCCAGAGAAGCCGAGCACCGUUUUGAGUGUGGUUCAGCGGCUGCUGAGAGGACGUCUGGCGGCUAGCUUUGUAACUACUAGUUCGCAAGCUGUACUGCGUAGCGCUACAGGUCGCUCACCGCCGAUCAAAAUAAAGCCUGUCCCUCCCACAGAGUUUGCGUGGUGGUUUGGGGGAUCAAUUGCAUUCAGCAUUCUUAAAGUGUUAGGCCUUUCAUUACUUUUUUACAUCGCUCCAGGUGCAUUUGAAUACUGGGGACCCAUUAUUGGAUGACGGCUGAGCUGAAUUAAAUAUGCAGAAGGUGCAUUGUUAUUUUUGUUGUUUUUAUAAUAAAAUGACUUAAUAUGACUUGGUUGAUACCAUUGAAUUUUCAUGUUUGCUUAUGAACUAAUGCGUAUAUGAAUAAUGAUACAUAAGUGUGAACGGCUAUUGAAUGAAAUCAUUUCUGAUUCUGAAACAUCUUAUAUCAUCGUUUGCUUAGAAUUUUCAGUCUUUAGAAAUAUGUUGUCGAGCCGAAGCUUAGAGAUCGUGUAUAAUUAUUUUGCAGAAGACUGGAAACGUCACUUGCUGAGUUGAUAGGCAUGCCCAAAUACAUUGGUGUGUAAUGUGA